UGCGGGGUGCUAUACUGCAAGUCGAACGAACUCUGGUAUUGAUUGGUGCUUGCAUCAUGAUUUACAUUUGAGUGAGUGGCGAACUGGUGAGUAACACGUGGGAAACCUGCCCAGAAGCGGGGGAUAACACCUGGAAACAGAUGCUAAUACCGCAUAACAACUUGGACCGCAUGGUCCGAGUUUGAAAGAUGGCUUCGGCUAUCACUUUUGGAUGGUCCCGCGGCGUAUUAGCUAGAUGGUGAGGUAACGGCUCACCAUGGCAAUGAUACGUAGCCGACCUGAGAGGGUAAUCGGCCACAUUGGGACUGAGACACGGCCCAAACUCCUACGGGAGGCAGCAGUAGGGAAUCUUCCACAAUGGACGAAAGUCUGAUGGAGCAACGCCGCGUGAGUGAAGAAGGGUUUCGGCUCGUAAAACUCUGUUGUUAAAGAAGAACAUAUCUGAGAGUAACUGUUCAGGUAUUGACGGUAUUUAACCAGAAAGCCACGGCUAACUACGUGCCAGCAGCCGCGGUAAUACGUAGGUGGCAAGCGUUGUCCGGAUUUAUUGGGCGUAAAGCGAGCGCAGGCGGUUUUUUAAGUCUGAUGUGAAAGCCUUCGGCUCAACCGAAGAAGUGCAUCGGAAACUGGGAAACUUGAGUGCAGAAGAGGACAGUGGAACUCCAUGUGUAGCGGUGAAAUGCGUAGAUAUAUGGAAGAACACCAGUGGCGAAGGCGGCUGUCUGGUCUGUAACUGACGCUGAGGCUCGAAAGUAUGGGUAGCAAACAGGAUUAGAUACCCUGGUAGUCCAUACCGUAAACGAUGAAUGCUAAGUGUUGGAGGGUUUCCGCCCUUCAGUGCUGCAGCUAACGCAUUAAGCAUUCCGCCUGGGGAGUACGGCCGCAAGGCUGAAACUCAAAGGAAUUGACGGGGGCCCGCACAAGCGGUGGAGCAUGUGGUUUAAUUCGAAGCUACGCGAAGAAACCUUACCAGGUCUUGACAUACUAUGCAAAUCUAAGAGAUUAGACGUUUCCCUUCGGGGGACAUGGGAUACAGGUGGGUGCAUGGGAUGUCGUCAGCUUCGUUGUUCGGUGAGAUGUUGGGGAUUAGUUCCCGCCAUCGAGCCGUCAACCCCAUUAU
rnacentral:rRNA from 2 species